AUCGAACGCUGGCGGCAGGCCUAACACAUGCAAGUCGAACGAGUGGCGGACGGGUGAGUAAUGUCUGGGAAACUGCCUGAUGGAGGGGGAUAACUACUGGAAACGGUAGCUAAUACCGCAUACCAUCAGAUGUGCCCAGAUGGGAUUAGGUAGGUGGUGGGGUAACGGCUCACCAAGGCGACGAUCCCUAGCUGGUCUGAGAGGUUGACCGGCCACACUGGAACUGAGACACGGUCCAGACUCCUACGGGAGGCAGCAGUGGGGAAUAUUGCACAAUGGGCGCAAGCCUGAUGCAGCCAUGCGGCGUGUGUGAAGAAGGCCUUCGGGUUGUAAAAUACUUUCAGCGGGGAGGCGUUACCCAAAGAGAAAGCACCGGCUAACUCCGUGCCAGCAGCCGCGGUAAUUC
rnacentral:rRNA from 1 species